GAGGGCGGCGUGCUAUACAUGCAGUCGACGCUUCUUUUUCCACCGGAGCUUGCUCCACCGGAAAAAGAGGAGUGGCGAACGGGUGAGUAACACGUGGGUAACCUGCCCAUCAGAAGGGGAUAACACUUGGAAACAGGUGCUAAUACCGUAUAACAAUCAAAACCGCAUGGUUUUGAUUUGAAAGGCGCUUUCGGGUGUCGCUGAUGGAUGGACCCGCGGUGCAUUAGCUAGUUGGUGAGGUAACGGCUCACCAAGGCCACGAUGCAUAGCCGACCUGAGAGGGUGAUCGGCCACAUUGGGACUGAGACACGGCCCAAACUCCUACGGGAGGCAGCAGUAGGGAAUCUUCGGCAAUGGACGAAAGUCUGACCGAGCAACGCCGCGUGAGUGAAGAAGGUUUUCGGAUCGUAAAACUCUGUUGUUAGAGAAGAACAAGGAUGAGAGUAACUGUUCAUCCCUUGACGGUAUCUAACCAGAAAGCCACGGCUAACUACGUGCCAGCAGCCGCGGUAAUACGUAGGUGGCAAGCGUUGUCCGGAUUUAUUGGGCGUAAAGCGAGCGCAGGCGGUUUCUUAAGUCUGAUGUGAAAGCCCCCGGCUCAACCGGGGAGGGUCAUUGGAAACUGGGAGACUUGAGUGCAGAAGAGGAGAGUGGAAUUCCAUGUGUAGCGGUGAAAUGCGUAGAUAUAUGGAGGAACACCAGUGGCGAAGGCGGCUCUCUGGUCUGUAACUGACGCUGAGGCUCGAAAGCGUGGGGAGCAAACAGGAUUAGAUACCCUGGUAGUCCACGCCGUAAACGAUGAGUGCUAAGUGUUGGAGGGUUUCCGCCCUUCAGUGCUGCAGCUAACGCAUUAAGCACUCCGCCUGGGGAGUACGACCGCAAGGUUGAAACUCAAAGGAAUUGACGGGGGCCCGCACAAGCGGUGGAGCAUGUGGUUUAAUUCGAAGCAACGCGAAGAACCUUACCAGGUCUUGACAUCCUUUGACCACUCUAGAGAUAGAGCUUCCCCUUCGGGGGCAAAGUGACAGUGGUGCAUGGUUGUCGUCAGCUCGUGUCGUGAGAUGUUGGGUUAAGUCCCGCACGAGCGCACCCUUAUUGUAGUUGCCAUCAUCAGUGGGCACUCUAGCAGACCGCCGUGACAAACCGGGAGGAAGGUGGGGGAAUGAACGUCAAUCAUCA
rnacentral:rRNA from 1 species